rnacentral:rRNA from 1 species
UACGUAGGGUGCGAGCGUUGUCCGGAAUUAUUGGGCGUAAAGCGCGCGCAGGCGGUCCUUUAAGUCUGAUGUGAAAGCCCACGGCUCAACCGUGGAGGGUCAUUGGAAACUGGGGGACUUGAGUGCAGAAGAGGAAAGUGGAAUUCCAAGUGUAGCGGUGAAAUGCGUAGAGAUUUGGAGGAACACCAGUGGCGAAGGCGACUUUCUGGUCUGUAACUGACGCUGAGGCGCGAAAGCGUGGGGAGCAAACAGGAUUAAGAA